AAAGCAACAAGCUUCAUCGAGUUUCUUUUAAUAGUUAAUUAGCCAAAAGCAUGAAAAUGAUAAUAUUACAAACAAUUUAAAGAAAUUCAGCCAGUGUUAUAACAGAUUUUAUUUUAAUGUACCUGAUAAAAGACUGGUCGAGAUACAUAAUUUUGAUCUAAUGAGAACCUUACUGACAUUAUAUUAAUAUUUUUGCGCAUCCUUUUACUCAAUUUCUCAUACAUAUACGUUCUCUUCUUAAGUGCUGUUAUUUGAUAUUCAUGAUUGUAUUUCAUUUCCUGGUUUCUAUUUGUCAUGCUAACUUGGAGCGAGUCAAUCCUCCUUUCAACUUGAUACUUUCUGGUUCUUUUUUGUUUCUCUAUUUGGUUUAAUUUUGUUUGCUUUCAUCUACUACUUUGCCAUAUAUUCCAAGCUAUUAAAAAAAAAAAAAAAAUUCAAAAAAGAAGGAACAGACUACACCUGAGGUACAGCUUGAGCUCUUUUAUAUCCCCAGCCAAUCAUCUGCAGAUACUUAAUUCCCUUCAUUGAACAUGUUUUCAGUUGUCGCCAAAUAUGAUUUGGCAAUUUUUGUUUUGUUUGUACAAUUUAUUGGGUUUUACAGGAAAUAACAAGCAUCCAAUGCUGAAGACUCCACGGUAUAACAAGCAUAUAACAAGCUUGGAAAUAAAAAGAUUGUGAAAUGGUGGAAGAAAUAUUUGAAAUCAAAACAUCCAAUGCUGAAGAAAUUCAUGACACAAUGUAUCCACUCAAUUGAAUUCUUCCGAGUUACAUGGUUUACCAAAUCUCAAGUGUAAUCCAGAGUAAAGAUCAUCAAGGAACUUUUGCCUUCCCUGACUUUAAAAGGAAGUUCAAGCUUCUGAUUGUCCAAAUCUAAAAGCAAUAUUUUCCACCUUCGGUGACCAAAGGUGUUUCCCAACUUUCAGUACUAUCUAUUCAUCAGUGUGAGCAAGAAAUUGUUGGUAAGGAGGAAGGUCUGGGGAUCCCCUCAUAAAUUUGUUUUCUCUAAAUUAGAGGAAAUGGAGCUCAAAAGUUUUCUCAAUCCAAUUGUGCAUUUCUAUAUCUCAGUAUCUGGAUUUCCUUUGAUAAAAAAAGGUUAUAUGUCUGUAUGAAGGUGAUGAUUUUUCCUUUGUCUUUUUUUUUUUUUUUUUUUUUUUUUUUUUUUUUGUUGUUGUUGUUGUUGUUGUUGUUGUUUUGGUUCCAAACUCUUGAGUCAAGGCAGCCACAGGUCAUUAUUAAAGAAGGCAGACUUAAUUUCAACUAUGGUUCUUAAUUUAUUUUUUUCAUCCAAUCUUCUCAUACAAAGUACACAAAUAUGCAUCAUGCAUAUAAACAGAACCAGGCUCUUUGCCUGGGAAUGAGUCGGGACUUUACAAUUAGGCUGUUCCAAAGGAAUGACAUUUUAUAGUUAGAAAAAUAAUUAGCUGAAUAAUUGGCUUGGAUAGUUAGUUAGAAAAUUCUUUUGCAGGUUACAUUUGGUGAAUAUCGGGAAUGUGCCGGAAGACUUUCACAUUCGAGCCCAUUAGAAGUAUGUGGACAGCAAAAACAUGAUGCCGCAUAUCUUUCCAAAAUUUGAUUGUUGUAUUUGUACUAGAAUAUAUGUUGACUAUAUUGAAUAAACAAACGAUUGUUGUUUUGAAAGAGUUAUACAUGAAUAUGUCCAGAACUAACAAUUUAUUUGUUUAUUUUUUAGAAAAUGCUUUGAAUUCCAAAAUAUAUAAACACUAAUUUUCAAUGUCAGUAAACUCUUUUCAAUAUUCGCUACCUCAGAUCUGGAUCCCUCAUAUCUGUCUGACAAAUAGCCAUUGCUUGAAUAUCCAUAUGCUUGAAAGUGUAGUGCCACGGUCUCUGCAGGUUUGGUUGCUUGCAUGGAUGAUGCGGUCCUUGUUUGAAUGCCAUGUUUUCGAAUAAGUAUGUAAUUUUGUUGUUGUAUCUUUGAGAAAUUCAGAGUUUCUCUCUUUGAUAUGUUGAGUUUGGGUUGUAUGUUCUCUACCAUUGGAGAUUAGACACUAUUUUGAUGUGGAUUUUGAAUUGAACAAUUUGAAAACAGAGGAAAAAUGGCUGUUUUAUGGGGAGUAUCUGUUUAAGUGCUGUGGCUUUAUUUUUUAUUUUAUUUUAUAGUAAAAGUAAAAGGAAAGGGGCUGAUUUAGAAGUGGAAGCAAGGUAAUUAUAGAUCAAACGGUUUAACUUGAUGGUGAUAUAUAUCAAUCAAUCCAUCCAAUUCCAUCUAUCUGUUCAUCUGUAUUAGAUUUGCGAAACAGAAUGGCCAUACUCUGUUUUGUCGUGUUUGGUUUAUAUUUGAUUCCACUCUGUUUUGUUCUGUUAAGACUUUUGGAUGGGUGCUGGAAAUGCAAGUGUAAGAAAAUAAGUGGCAGUUUAUUUGCUGUCCUUUAUAAUCUAGCAAGUUUAUUUGCAGGAAAUUUAAAUUUAAUGUUGUUCUUUAUAAUCUAGCAAAUUUAUUUCCUGGAAAUGUAAAUCUAAUUAUGUAAGUCUUCAAAUAGUUCCUUUUGCUGUUUAAUUUUCAGCCUCCAUGGGAUUUGUAAAUAUGUAAGAAGUUCAUCAUCCAUUAUUACAGUUUAAAGGUUAAUUGUUUUUCCCUUCUCAGCGGCUGAAAGCAACCUUUGAAAUAAAACUUUGAAUUUCUUUAUGGAAUAUCAAAAUUCAAAUAUUAUCCGUAAAUGAAAAUUAGUACUGUCUUGCUGAGAGUUGCCAUAUACGUUCUGAAUGAGCUAACAUAUGGCAAAUUUGACGAUAAUACCUACUAGGACCUCCACCAAGAAACCACUCCUUGCCCCAUCCCGGGGUGCAUGAAAGUGUGAACUUUCUAUGGACUGCUGUGCUUCUCCCUUGACAACAUAUUAACCACCAACUUCUGAGAUGCACUUUUGCUCGUCAUAGAUGCAGUUGCAGCUGCUGGUCGUCAUCGGGGUUAUAUCUUCCUUUGCAGAUCUGUAGAUGCAAUAUAGAUAAUCUUAAAGCGAAUCUUAAGAAGGCAACGGUGGAGAAUUGGUGGGUGCAGCUAAAGAUAGCGGUGGUUAAAUUUAUUACAUUACUCACUAAUUCCAAGGUGGUUGAUAUUGUAAUUAAGGUGGGGCAGUUUUUGGACGAAGGAUCACUAGAAGGUGGCAGAGACAUGUUCCUAUAUUUUUUAAAGCAUUGAAAUUAAUGUGUUCAACUACUUAAAAUAUAUUAUUGAGCAUGCAAUGUUAAUUGACUUUGAGACCCAAUACACAAAAAAUAGAAAAUAAAUUAAA